GGAGGGGUCGUGGGAAUAUAAGAGCCUAAGAGAGCACUUGCCCUCUAUUCACAGUCCCCGUGAAAGCUCCGUACGCCCGACUGCGCUUUUUCGAAUCGCUUUUUUGCUACCAUGGCCAUCAAAUUGCUUAAGCUCUGUAUUAUCAUACUUGCCGUCAUUGUUUGCAUAAAUGCUGCUGUUAUCAACAUGAAAGGACAGAAACUUUGUGGAUCAGAACUGGCCAGAACACUAAGUUUACUCUGCAGAGGUGGCAGUCCAAAUUCCAUAAACUCCGACAUGAAAAUCCCCGCUGAACUGGUGGAUGUAUGCUGCACUUCUUCGUGCAGCUCCUUCACCCUUCUAUCAUUUUGCCCGUCAUUUGAUGAGUCAUAAAUUGUCAUGUUAGUCAUGAUCGGAAACCAAAACUAGAGCCAAAUAGGAGUUCAUAAUGAGUGUCCUUUCUUCUACGUAAUAGCUGAACUGUUUUAGAAAGUAUUAUGACAUUUAGUUGACAGCACCCUCAUGACCUAGACAUAUUAGUUUGUGAUUUCACCUUCAAGCUGUCAUUGUAAAAUAUUAAAACAAAAAACAAAUUUAGGGGGAGGGGAGAAUUUAGCAUGAUAACAAUAAAAAACUCAUCACACAUAAACCGAGUGCAUUUGCACAUUUUGUGAUUUUAUGUUCAAAUAAACAGUAGUUGAAUAAAAGCAUUUUAGUCAAAUUUAGAAUCUUCGUACUAUUUUCAGGCCCAUAUCUACGGGCUAUGCGCACGAGGCAUCAGGGUGUUCAAGUCGUUUUUUAAAAAGGGGGAGAAGGGUCCCUAAUUAAAGUUAAAGAUCCUAAAUACGGAGAGAUUGGACAAGUUCAGAGCGGCGGCCAUCUUAUGUCCAAAGAUGCUCACUCCCCGCAGACCGUAAUGCAACUUCUGCCCCAAAUAUCACUGUACAUUGUAUCGAAAAAAUUAGAAGCUAGUUAUGAUUUUAUGAAAUGAAAUGUGCAGAUCACAAAUAUCUGUUUGUUUUCUAUCUUUGUGAACAAAUUUGUCAGAAAAUUUUUCUUUCUUUGUAAGCGCUAUGACGAUACGAAACGAUUGGCGCCGGAUUGCAAGACUUGGCGCUCACUCUGUUUGUUGAAAAUACAAAGAGAAGAAAAAUCAGUCUAUUCUUCUAAGAUUUCAUGUCCUAUAUUCCGUGGAAAAUCUAGAAAUUAAUACAGCGCAGCAUUUCGAGCUAACAAUACUUAGACUAAACAUGGCGGACGACGGCGCGCCGUUAUCCAAUCUCGCCGUAUAUAGGAUCUCCAAUUAAAGUUUAAAAUUAACUUUAUGCCUAGGCCCUAGUCGCUUAGAAAAUGGUCGAAGAAUGAGAAAAGAGUAUCAAAGACGGAAAAAAUUACCUAAACGGUUGUUUUGAGACAUUUAUAAUGAGUGGAGGGAAAUUGUACUGGAAGGUGAAAAUGUCAAACAUUUGUCCAACAAUAAAAAUUUUAGUAAAAAGUGGAUAUUGAUAAAUACUGCGUAAAAUAACCUACUGAUUGAAGGAUUUAUUAAUUUUAAUUAUGUUUCAUUUAAUGUCAAUGUAUACUAUUGAUAAAUAUUAGGUUCAAUGUUUUGUCAAACAGUUGGUUACAUUUUUUGCACAAUGUAUUCUUGCUGCAUUUAUGAUUGUAUUGUUUAUGUUUUUGAAACGAAAUGCAUUGUUUUCAGUGUGAAUAUGUAUAAAUACUUUGUCUAUUGUUUCAGGUUUAAAUUGUAUUCGGAAGUGGUUUAAUACUUUAAUGAUUGAAAAUGAAUAAUGAUUAUUAAAUUUAUAACAAGUUUCUUACGCACAAUUUUGUUUUUACCAUUUUGCGCUUUUGAAUAUUUAAAAAAAAAAUGAAGUAAACACCGAAUUAUUUGCUUUAAUACUACAUUUUCAUUGAUGAUCUCUUCUUAUUAAAGUUCUAAAUGUAUUUAUUGAAUAAAUCAUGAUGUUUAAAAAUUUUGCUUUAAUACUCAGGUGCUUGUAGGUAAAAUAAUUUAUCUGAAAAUAACAAAUAAAGUUGUAAUUUCACUUUAUUCUAAAAGUAAGACUUUUGAAAACAUUUUUUAUUGCAAAGUGACAAAUUUGGACACAUAAUUUUUUGUACGUUUUGAGAAAAUAUGUGGGGUUAUAAUGUGUUUAUAAAAGCGAUGUCAUCAUUUCAGCGCUAAAGUUUCUUAUUUAUUAGAUAGAGAAAUUACUUUUAUACGACAAUUAAAGGGUUUUUCUGCACUGUAUUAACUGCAUUAAUUAUGAAAAAUUACAUUUAGGUUUCAUUUUACUUCUUUUUAACUCAAAGCCUAAGAACAUUUUAAAUUAUUGAUAAUAUCGUUCAAUUUGAAAGCAAAAAUUCUCAUUUUGUAAAUAAUUGUGUUAUUUUAUAUGACUAUGAUACAUAUUUUAAAAAAAUACAAAUUUUCAUUUAAUUUGUGACAUAUUGCACGAAAUUAAUGUUGAUAUUUUUAAAAAUAAAAACAUUCUUAUUUAUCAAAUAAGUUGUCAGUUGUUUAUUAUUUUAACAUGUGUUAAAGCAAAAAAAUAUCUGCAGUAGUAUAUACUAAAUGUGUAAUGAUAUAAAGUCGAUACUUUAAAAACUGCUUAAGACUUUUGAGUAUUUGAUUUAGUUGUAAGACUUCAGUGAAUAGACUAACUUUCGAGACUUAACACAUAAAGGGGAAAAAUAAAUUCCGUUGCAUAAUGAAAUUUAUUUUUUAUUUUCUUAUGUUUGAAAAUAAAACAACAGCUAACGCACAGAAUUUGUACAAGUACAGAGGAGUUUUGCAAAAAUGCUGCUUUUUGCUUCGAAAACAUAUUUGCUUUAUGAUUCAAUGUAAUAAAUUUCAUGAACUUUAUAUUGUAGAUUUAAUUUAGAAUUGUAUUUAAAAUUAGAAGUGUCUGCAAUGAUUGUAUUUUCUGUAGUUUAUUCGGCUACAUAAGUUACAUUUAUUUUGUCUUAUUACUAAUAAAUUGCUGUUGCUUGUAAGAAAUAAAUG